UGGGGAAUAUUGGACAAUGGGCGAAAGCCUGAUCCAGCCAUGCCGCGUGUGUGAAGAAGGUCUUCGGAUUGUAAAGCACUUUAAGUUGGGUGGAAGGGCAGUAAGCGAAUACCUUGCUGUUUUGACGUUACCGACAGAAUAAGCACCGGCUAACUCUGUGCCAGCAGCCGCGGUAAUACAGAGGGUGCAAGCGUUAAUCGGAAUUACUGGGCGUAAAGCGCGCGUAGGUGGUUCGUUAAGUUGAAUGUGAAAGCCCCGGGCUCAACCUGGGAACUGCAUCCAAAACUGGCGAGCUAGAGUAGGGCAGAGGGUGGUGGAAUUUCCUGGGUAGCGGUGAAAUGCGUAGAUAUAGGAAGGAACACCAGUGGCGAAGGCGACCACCUGGGCUCAUACUGACACUGAGGUGCGAAAGCGUGGGGAGCAAACAGG
rnacentral:rRNA from 1 species